ACUGCUCAGUAACACGUCGGUAACCUGCCCUGUGGUCGGAAAUAACCUCGGGAAACUGAGGGUAAUGUCCGAUAGGAGAUUUGGCCUGGAAUGGUAUUUCUCCCAAACACGUGCCAUAGGAUGGGCCGGCGGCUGAUUAGGCUGUUGGUGGGGUAACGGCCCACCAAACCAAAGAUCAGUACGGGCCUUGAGAGAGGUAGCCCGGAGAGGGACACUGAGAUACGGGUCCCAGCCCCACGGGGUGCAGCAGGCGCGAAACCUUUACAAUGCACGAAAGUGUGAUAGGGGGAUACUCAGUGCUUACGAUUAUGUCGUAGGCUUUUGUCAAUCGUAAAUAGAUUGGCGAAUAAGUGGUGGGUAAGACCGGUGCCAGCCGCCGCGGUAACCCCGGCGCCACAAGUGGUCAUCGCGAUUAUUGGGCCUAAAGCGUUCGUAGCCGGAGUGGCAAAUCUCUUGUGAAAUUGUUCGGCUUAACCGGACAGCGUGCAGGAGACACUACCACCCUCGAGACCGGGAGGCGUAAGAAGUAUUCCAUGGGGACUGGUAAAAUGGGAUAAUCCAUGGAAGACUACCGAUGGCGAAGGCAUCUUACGAGAACGGAUCUGACGGUGAGGAACGAAAGCCAGGGGAGCGAACCGGAUUAGAUACCCGAGUAGUCCUGGCCGUAAACGCUGUGUGCUAGGUGCUGCGUAUCUCAUGAAGAUGCGCGGUGUCGAAACGAAGGUGCUAAGCACACCGCCUGGGAAGUACGGUCGCAAGACUGAAACUUUAAGGAAUUGGCGGGGGAGCA
rnacentral:rRNA from 1 species